AGAAAUGAUAAGAAGAGCGAGAAAGAGCUGAGUGAACUUCGGCUAUAGCUGCUGGUCACACCCAGAGAGGAAUGAGUCAAUAAUGAUGCAACACCGUAAUGGGCUGGACUGGUUUUAUGCUAAAGGUCUCCAUAGUUAAGCAAGAAUCAACUUUAAGCAAGAAUCCAGGAGUUUCUCUAAGGAAUGCCAUGAUAACAUCGAUCUGCUCUGCUAGCGGCUUUCAGAAACUCAUUCUAGCAAAACAUUCGGUGUGAAAGUAGAAGAUUUAGUUCAGGUUUAAAAAAACCAUCCGAUCAAGUUUAUCUGAACUGAAUUUGAUGCAUUUCUAAUUGAUUUAUGGAGAAAUCAAGAACCAAACAAGAAAAUGUCACAUUUCUGAUGAUGUUUUACUUUAAUUCAACAGUUUGGUAUAAUUAUUGGCCUGGAAUAAUUCAGGUCACAAAUGUUUCACAAAUAAUGUUCGACACUAACUUGUUAUUUGUAUUGGUCCGUUUUUAAAAGCUUUUAUUAUGAAAUUCAUACAGGAAGAAAAGACCAGACAGAGAAUAGAGAAACAUGUAUUUUACAAACACUAAACAACAUGAUUUAUUUAAUGUUAUUAAUACAUUUAUUGCCCAUCAAAUGUUAUUUUUCUGUCACUUCUUCCUGUUUUAAAAUAUUUGACGCUGCCAUUCUGUCUUUUACUGAUUUUUUUUUGCAUGUUUUCCAAAUCAUUCCAGUUUGUAACUGCUAUAUAGCAAGUUUGAACAAAAGAUUGAUGCAGUCACAAUUACUAGAAAAACUUUUGCUAAGUUUUAACUUUAGUUCUGGUUCUUUUUAGACUUUUCUGUCUCUUUAUUUCUAUAUUUUAGGAAGUAUAGAUAUGGGUCUUUAGUUGAUGAAUUUUAGUAUUUUCUUUCCUGCACAGUAAACAUAAAACUGCAAGUUUAGUCUGAAUUUAAUUACAUUUUUAUUAACAAACUAAUAACAUGAUCAACUUAACUUAAAUAAUCCUGUUCCAUUGCCCAGCUCACUCUUUUAAAUUAAUUAAAUUUUCAUCUUGGCUAAACAUAAAAAAACUAAAGUGAUGAUCUUCUGAUCCUCAGGGAAGUCGGAGAAGCUUGAAGGAUUCUCACAAAACAAAAAUCUCAACUCAAGCAUAGUUUUUUUUAAAAGCUAAAAUAGUUUCUGAGUUAAGUUUAAAACCUUUAAACAUUCCAAGCAGGAGGAGAGAAAAUUAUGUUGGGCAUAAUUUGGUAUUCGCAAGCAUUUGAAACAAAAACAUUCAUUUCCAGUAACUAAAGUUAUUUCUGAGUUGGAGCUAAAGUUAAAUGCAAUUCAGGUGUGAUGCACAUUAAUGUAGUUUAGCUGUACUUUCACAAAGCAGGAGUGAGAGUUCUAGAUUUUAAUCUAAACAUAUUUUUAUGAACAUGCUUUGCUUCUGUCUCACUUUAUUCCACUUCAGCUGAAGUCAAAAUCCAGGAAUAAAUCUGUCCCAGAUGCCAGGAAUCAGAUUAAGAAAUGCCCACUUGGAGCAGCGGGACAAGUUCAGACAUGUCCUUCUGCAAACCUGGAAACUUUGGAGGAAAUCAAAUUAUGCCCUGUAAAAAAAUCUAAUCUUACCAACUUUUUCAGUUUGGUUUCUAGUGCAGAUAUCUCCAAACACUUGAGAUAAGACAAAACUAACUUUACAGCAAAAUAUAGGAGCUUUUUUAAAGCAAGUAAUUCAUUAACUUUGAUGAAAAACUAAUUAUAAGUUAAAUAAAUUGCCAGUAGAACAAGACAUUUUAAUUCAGAGUAUGGGGAAAUUUUUGUAUUUCAAUGGCAGAUAAUUUUUCUUAUAAUGAGUACUUUUUCUAAAACAAUUGCAUUCAAAUUAGACCAAAAAUACUCGUAAAAUUUGGUGUUUUUGCAAUGAGGGACACAAUUAAGAGUCUAAAGUUCCUGCAGCUGGCAGGUGUGUUUUAUUUCAGGUUUGUUUUAUGUCAGGUGUGUUUUAUUUGCAUUGUGCGGCUCCCAUUCUGGCUGAUGGAGAAGCUGCAGCUUUCACCCCUCCUCUCCCCUCUCCUCCUCCUCCUCCUCAGUCAAUAUCAGAGCAGCGGGCGUGGGACGUGAUUAAGUACAAGAGGUUAAACUUGCUGGACCAGCCGGCGCAUUUUCCAGUGAAACUCAGCAAGUAACCACGGCAACGAGACAAUGGAAAAUAAACUGUCAGCUGGUUUGUGUCUCCCUGCCUCUGCUGAUGUCGGUUCGGUCCCUGGGGGUUUAUCUCGGCGGACCGCAGAGGGCUGUGGGCGGCAGAUAGCGCCCAUUCCCGGCCCGAUCCAUCAAACAGCGCCGAGGGAGAACUGCAGUCUGCUCACAAAGACGUUUCCAGAAACAUUUACACUCACAGCCUUCCUACUUUUCUUUGCUUUAAAGCUGCAGGAUGGGACUUUUAUAAAAAUAAAAUGUGCUUCAGUGUCACCGUGUGGUAAUAUGACAGAUGAUCUGUGAAAAGAUCGAUCUCCUCCACCUCCUACCUGAGCUGCUAUCGCAUCUACAGAAACACACCAAACAACCAACCAGAGGCGGGUUUUAGUGUUGUCAAUCAAACUUGUGAACAUGCUGCUGAAUGUGCUAAUGGCAGAGAAAAUACUUACCACUCCAGGAUUACUGUUUAUCCCCUGUAAUUGUUGGCUAUGCUAACUAGUCUUAGCAUGCAUGACAGAUUGCUAAGGGGAAGAAGUUGUAGCUAGCAGAGAGCAAAGAGGGAGGAGAGGAUCGGGCUUUUCAGCAGCAGGGAAGCAAGAUUGAUUGACAGCACUAAGUCCCGCCUCCUGGCUCUGAAUGGUUGUUUCUAGUUAGCACUGGGAAAAGGCAGAAGAGCUCAAUGUUUUCACAGAUUGUCUGUCUCAUAACAUACUGUCACAACAUAGUGGCAAUUUCUACCAACAUGUAAAAAAAUAUAUUUUUAUAAAAGUUACAUACUGCAGCUUUAAUCUGAUUCUCACUAUAACGUAUUUUGUAGACUUGUUUAAAGUUUAUCCAAAUUCUGUUCUAAGAUUGAACAAAAUGAUUCAAAGGAUAAAAACAACUAAGGGUCAGAAGUUUGAAGACAUCAAAUUUAAAUAAUGUAUUUCCAUUUGAUGCUGAUUUAUGUUUCAUUACAGAAGGAAAUCUUCCACUAUAAGAGAAGAUCUUUGUAAACAUUUGGGCUGAUGCUGAUAGUUGACAUAUUGCUGAUAUGGCUGAUAAUAUUUAAAUACUAUUUAUUUUAUGAAUAUUUCUGGUCACAUUUUAGCACCAACAAUAGCAACAACACUGAAUUCAUUGCUUUAGUUAAACUUCCCACAAUCCUUUGCUGCAUCAUGGUCACAUGACCAAACAAAACCACAUGACCAAGUUCCUGCUGAAACAGAAUCAGGAUGGGAAUAAACAUCAGUAGUUCUGCUUAUCGGACCGAUAGCGAUGUUAGAAAAAUGACUAAUAUCGGCCGAUACCGAUGUUGAUGCCGAUAAAUCGCACAUCUGUUGUAUUGAAAUUCCUUUUUUUGCAACUAUUACUGAAAUUGUUUUCACAUUUUGAACACUGCUGGAGAAUCCUGUGAUGAGACCAAAAUCUAAACGCUUCCAGUCUGACUGGAGCUCUGCAAUGAAUAAUAAAGCAUCCCACAUUUUACAGACUUUCAUUUUUGUAAUAAAAAUAAGCACAAUUCUGGAUAAUUUUUCUUUAAUUUCACAAUUAAUCACUACUUUCUGUUAUCAAUAAAAUACCCAGAAGUUUGUGAUCCUAUGAGAAAAAGCAUCUAAGCAUAACUUUUUCAUUAAAGUAUGGCCAAAAAUGUAAACAUUAAUUUUAAAAUACUAUCUUUCAAACGUUUUCUGCAAACAUUUAAAUAUCCCCACAGAGUCAGGGUCGUAUAUUCCUGCAAAAAGAGGCAGAAGGUAAAACUUUUGCAGUAACUGAAUCUGAUUUGUGUGAAUAGUCUCCAUCCUCGCUGCUCAGCGUCUCACUUCCACACAGAAGUGCUUCAAAUAAAUCACAUUUUCAGAAACAGGAGCAGCAGAUGCUCACAGAACAGAGCUGAUUGGGGUUCAUAUUUUAUCCUGAUUUAUGGAGAAAAAAUGUGAUAUACACUGAAAAACAUACUUUUGUCUAGUUUCUGGAGGAAAUAACUUAGUACGCUUGAAAUAAGACAAAACUAACUUAAAAGUAGCUUUUCAGCAAGCUAUGACAGUUUGUUUAAAGUCAAUAAUUGCUGAAUGCAGAUUUAUUUCACUUACAACAAGACAUUUUUCCUGUUUUAAGAGGAAAGAAACACUGGAACUAGUUCUUUUUGUGGAUAUAUUCAAGAAUUAUUGUCUUACAAGUUUAUUUAUCUUUCUUGAAGGUUACUUUUAAGUAGUUGUUUCUUAUUUCAAGUGUACUAAGAUAUAUGCAAUAGAAACUAGACAAAUAUUGCAAUUUAUAAUCAAAUUUAUGUUGUAUUAUUGUUUUAAUCUGUUUUUAGCUGCUAUAAAUGUUUUUAUUUCAGACUGGACUGAAGAUGCUGUGAUGAUGCCUGGAGCUCAACAUAUCUUCAACUUUAACUGAGUAUUUUACAUAAACAUAACCUCUUACAAGAAUCUAUCAGUAAAUCUUAGAGUUGAAUUUAUAGGUAUUUAUCCCUCUAAUUCCUCAGAUUCUUCUGUAAAAGCAGCACUGAUCCCCAUCAAACAACCUGGAGGACAUCUCAAAUUUUAACGUCACGCAGAUCAGAGUUUACAUCGUGGAUUUGACAGCAAAGGUUUUAGGGGAAGUUUUCCUAAUAAUCCUACAAAUCAGAAUGGGAACCAUGUAUGAGUUUAUAAUGAAGGGGGAACAUUAACUCAAAAACAAAAUAAAAAACAUUUUUGAAAUUCAACAUAAACACAUAAACAUUAAGUUAUUCUUUGCAUUUGCACUUCUAAAUGGGUAAAAAAAAUACUAUAUACAUUUUCAAAGCACUUUCAAACAGCUCAUAAUAGUUUUAUGAACACAGAAUUAAAUGUAUAGCAGAAUAAAAGAUAUUUAUAAGCCUAUAAACAAACACUACAUGGUUUGAUUUCCAGGCCAGAAGAUAUUUAUUUCAGUUUUUAGACAUGAGGCUUGAUUUGGAUUGAACUUGUAAACAUCCCUGAUACGUGGCAAACUGUGAUAGGCCUAUAUCUGGACUUUUUUAUUUAUUUAAAAGUGUAGCAAAAAAUACUAAACUCAUAGAAACAUAUUUAAAGAACUAAAAAAAACAGUCCGAGAAAAUACAUGGCAGCAUCACAACAUUUAGAGAAAAUCUGGAUGCUUCAGAGAAAAUAUACAGAAAAAAAGAUAGAAAACUCAUUUCUUUCGACAUAAACAGAGAAUAUGUGCAACGUUUCCUGAUAACAGCAGGAACGCCUGAUUAGAAACAUAAACAUAUUUAUGACAGCAUAAGAAAGCAGGACACAGUUCGGGUUUCAUUCUGUCAGUGCCAGUUUACCCAGUUCACCGCCCAGUCUGACCACUGCGGCGGAAAUCCCUCCGCCCUCUGUUAAUGCACCCUCUUAAUGUAAAACGUAUCGAUCAGUCCGCGCUACAAGCCCUCUAAUUGGAUCAUUUUACAGCAGAAGGCCGCAGAGAAACAAACAAACAGCGCAUGUUAGCAGAUCUGCGGCGAGUUUCUGCGCAGCGCAACGAGGACCGAAAGGUUCCGGCAGACACUUCCUGGAAAAACUGAACUGGUCCCGCAAACCCCGAAAACUUUUAAAUUUAGAUUAAAACUGGAAACCUUCAGCAGAUUCUUUCCUUCACUCAUCCGACUACAACAAAUAGAGCUGCGUUUUUAUGAAAUGUGCGUUUAAGGCGAACGAAAUGCGCCGAAACGGGGGA